GGUUGAUCAGGGAAACCCAGGGACAUCCAGAGAGAAGGGCGAUAUUGGAAAUAAGGGAGCCCAAGGGCUUCCCGGUGAUAAAGGUGACAAUAGCCUUAAAGAAAAUUCAGGAAAAGGACUUGAUCCCAAGUGUCUUUGUAAAUUUAGAUUUCAGAGGAACAACCAAAUUCAGAGCAGAAUUCUCGACAGAGUCAUGAUGGCGUGUCCGAUAGGCAAUGGUACCAUAGUUAAUGUUACAUGGUCAAAAGAAGGG